rnacentral:rRNA from 1 species
UACGUAGGGUGCGAGCGUUUGUCCGGAAUUAUUGGGCGUAAAGAGCUCGUAGGCGGUUCGUCGCGUCGGCUGUGAAAACCUGAGGCUCAACCUCAGGCCUGCAGUCGAUACGGGCGGACUUGAGUACUGCAGGGGAGACUGGAAUUCCUGGUGUAGCGGUGAAAUGCGCAGAUAUCAGGAGGAACACCGAUGGCGAAGGCAGAUCUCUGGGCCGUAACUGACGCUGAGGAGCGAAAGCAUGGGGAGCGAACAGG